rnacentral:rRNA from 1 species
UACAGAGGAGCCAAGCGUUGUCCGGAUUGACUGGGCGUAAAGCGCACGCAGGCGGUUGCGCGCGGGGGGUGGGAAAUCUGGCCGCUUAACGGCCAGGCGCCAUCCCAUACGGCGCGACUGGAGUGAUGCAGAGGUCGAUGGAAUUGCCGGUGUAGUGGUGAAAUGCGUAGAGAUCGGCAGGAACACCCAGGGGGAAACCAGUCGACUGGGCAUCUACUGACGCUGAGGUGCGAGAGCGUGGGGAGCGAACCGG